rnacentral:rRNA from 1 species
GACGAACGCUGGCGGCGUGCUUAACACAUGCAAGUCGAACGGAAAGGCCCUGCUUUUGUGGGGUGCUCGAGUGGCGAACGGGUGAGUAACACGUGAGUAACCUGCCCUUGACUUUGGGAUAACUUCAGGAAACUGGGGCUAAUACCGGAUAGGAGCUCCUGCUGCAUGGUGGGGGUUGGAAAGUUUCGGCGGUUGGGGUUGGACUCGCGGCUUAUCAGCUUGUUGGUGGGGUAGUGGCUUACCAAGGCUUUGACGGGUAGCCGGCCUGAGAGGGUGACCGGCCACAUUGGAACUGAGAUACGGCCCAGACUCCUACGGGAGGCAGCAGUGGGGAAUAUUGCACAAUGGGCUGAAGCCUGAUGCAGCAACGCCGCGUGCGGGAUGACGGCCUUCGGGUUGUAAACCGCUUUCGCCUGUGACGAAGCGUGAGUGACGGUAAUGGGUAAAGAAGCACCGGCUAACUACGUG